UACGGAGGGGGCUAGCGUUGUUCGGAAUUACUGGGCGUAAAGCGCACGUAGGCGGCUUUGUAAGUUAGAGGUGAAAGCCCGGGGCUCAACUCCGGAAUUGCCUUUAAGACUGCAUCGCUCGAAUUGUGGAGAGGUAAGUGGAAUUCCGAAGUGUAGAGGUGAAAUUCGUAGAUAUUCGGAAGAACACCAGUGGCGAAGGCGACUUACUGGACACAUAUUGACGCUGAGGUGCGAAAGCGUGGGGAGCAAAC
rnacentral:rRNA from 1 species